rnacentral:rRNA from 1 species
CCCNAACAAGGUGGAACUUGGGAGGUUGUGCCCUUGAGGCGUGGCUUCCGGAGCUAACGCGUUAAGUCGACCGCCUGGGGAGUACGGCCGCAAGGUUAAAACUCAAAUGAAUUGACGGGGGCCCGCACAAGCGGUGGAGCAUGUGGUUUAAUUCGAUGCAACGCGAAGAACCUUACCUACUCUUGACAUCCAGAGAACUUUCCAGAGAUGGAUUGGUGCCUUCGGGAACUCUGAGACAGGUGCUGCAUGGCUGUCGUCAGCUCGUGUUGUGAAAUGUUGGGUUAAGUCCCGCAACGAGCGCAACCCUUAUCCUUUGUUGCCAGCGGUCCGGCCGGGAACUCAAAGGAGACUGCCAGUGAUAAACUGGAGGAAGGUGGGGAUGACGUCAAGUCAUCAUGGCCCUUACGAGUAGGGCUACACACGUGCUACAAUGGCGCAUACAAAGAGAAGCGACCUCGCGAGAGCAAGCGGACCUCAUAAAGUGCGUCGUAGUCCGGAUUGGAGUCUGCAACUCGACUCCAUGAAGUCGGAAUCGCUAGUAAUCGUAGAUCAGAAUGCUACGGUGAAUACGUUCCCGGGCCUUGUACACACCGCCCGUCACACCAUGGGAGUGGGUUGCAAAAGAAGUAGGUAGCUUAACCUUCGGGAGGGCGCUUACCACUUUGUGAUUCAUGACUGGGGUGAAGUCGUAACAAAGGGGUAACCAA